ACUACUUCUCUUCUCCAUUAUUUUAUUUCAUUUUCCUUCACAUUUCGCUUUCACUUCCAUUCGAGUCCUCUUAUCUUAACCUAGAAACCAAUCUAUCUGUCCCAACACCUUCACGCUCAUCAAGUCCUCUUGCCUCAGAAGCUCCGGCAAGCUUGCUUUAUAUCCGUCGAGAGUUUUGUCCUCAAUCGGAAAGUAAACAACUAUACCAGUCAACCAGGCGUACGUGUCGAUGCUACAACCAUCGACGGCGACUACGCUACAUGAAUUGGAUUCAUGGGUGGUGUAUGUACUUCCUCCAAGAGACUACUCAACGACAAUAUAGGUGUGUGCAGAGUUUGAUGUUGAGGUACUUUAGCAUCAUAUCGGUCAUGUUUUUGAUCGUUUUGACUGUGUUUCUUGUGGUACUACCGCUGCUUUUGCCACCACUACCACCACCGCCUUUAGUGCUUCUCUUUAUUCCGGUUCUGAUCAUGGCAGUUCUCAUUUUACUGGCGUUUUCUCACUUGUCGCAAGUUCCAAAUAUGGCCGUCGUUUCUGUUUGAUAUAUGAGUAUAAAUGAUGAGGCAGGUUUCAACAUUUCAUAUUCAAUGUUAUAAAACCCCCUCAACCCUUAAUUUCUUUUAUUUUAUCUGAAAAUAUAUCUAAUGGAUAUUAUUAAACA